rnacentral:tRNA from 1 species
GGGGCUGUAGCGCAGAGGCAGGCGCGCCUGACUCCGGAUCAGGUAUACGCGGGUUCGAAUCCGGCCGGUCCCC